rnacentral:piRNA from 1 species
UGUCGCAACAAGAAUCCUGCACCCCC